CCUACGGGAGGCAGCAGUGAGGAAUAUUGGUCAAUGGGCUUACGCCUGAACCAGCCAAGUCGCGUGAGGGAAGACUGCCCCAUGGGUUGUAAACUUCUUUUGUCAGGGAGCAACGUCGGCCACGUGUAGCUGGACUGAGAGUAUCUGAAGAAAAAGCAUCGGCUAAUUCCGUGCCAGCAGCUGCGGUAAUACGGAGGAUGAGAGCGUUAGCCGGAUUUAUUGGGUUUAAAGGGUGUGUAGGCGGAAUGCAAAGUCAGCGGUAAAAGCGCGGGGUUCAACCUCGCUGAGCCGUUGAAACUGGCGGUCGUGAGUGGGCGAGAGGUAUGCGGAAUGCGUGGUGUAGCGGUGAAAUGCAUAGAUAUCGCGCAGAACUCCGAUUGCGAAGGCAGCAUACCGGCGCCCAACUGACGCUGAGGCACGAAAGCGUGGGUAUCGAACAGGAUUAGAUACCCUUGUAGUC
rnacentral:rRNA from 1 species